CCCAUCCCCUUCAUCCCCUUCUCUCCCUCACCCCACCAUGGCCCAUCCUGACUGAGGUGUUAGGGUGUAUCUCAGUUCUGGAAAGUCUUGCUUGCUUGGAUGAAAUCCUCUCUCAGAGGAUUUCCACAUUAGGAGGGAGGGGUUCCGUAAAACCUGUAUGAGCUAAAGGAUAGGAUUUCCAAUCGUGUUAUCCGGGGAGGGGGUGACAAGUUGUGACGCGUGGCCCUGGGCAGUAGACCCUGCAUAAAGCCCCCCACCUAUGGAGGGCCACGCCUUUGCCUGCUGGUAAGGCUGGCCCUACAGAGAGGACCUCAAGACUACGAGCUUCGCACCCCAUGAAUGACCGCGUUUCUUCCUGGUGGAUGAAUGAACAUGCGUCUUCCUGGUGUCAGCCCCCUGCCCAUGGCUCUCGUCUGCAAGAGCGAAGAAACUUCACCACUUCUCUCUCCUGCUGUGGAAGAAGAUGAAACAGGAACCCAGCUCAGAGGCGCUGCUCACCUCACGGAUCAGGAGUAACCGGCGCGGGAAGGGGCGGGGUGUGGGGCAAGGAACGGGGUGCGGGAGGGGGCG
rnacentral:lncRNA from 1 species